GACGAACGCUGGCGGCGUGCUUAACACAUGCAAGUCGAACGAGACCUUCGGGUCUAGUGGCGCACGGGUGCGUAACGCGUGGGAAUCUACCCUUGGGUUCGGAAUAACAGUUAGAAAUGACUGCUAAUACCGGAUGAUGACGUAAGUCCAAAGAUUUAUCGCCCAAGGAUGAGCCCGCGUAAGAUUAGCUUGUUGGUGGGGUAAUGGCCUACCAAGGCGACGAUCUUUAGCUGGUCUGAGAGGAUGAUCAGCCACACUGGGACUGAGACACGGCCCAGACUCCUACGGGAGGCAGCAGUGGGGAAUAUUGGACAAUGGGCGAAAGCCUGAUCCAGCAAUGCCGCGUGAGUGAUGAAGGCCUUAGGGUUGUAAAGCUCUUUUACCAGGGAUGAUAAUGACAGUACCUGGAGAAUAAGCUCCGGCUAACUCCGUGCCAGCCGCCGCCGAAA
rnacentral:rRNA from 1 species